CCCGGUGACUUGUUUAACGGCUGCAAUUAAUAGUUGUGCUAAGGUAGCGUAGUAAGUUGUCCUUUAAUUGAGGAAAGGUAUGAAUGGUUUGACGUAAGGGAUACUGUCUCUAAAGAAAUAGUUGAAUUUUUCUUUUUAGUGAAAAGUCUAAGAUAAAAUUAAUAGACGAGAAGUCCCUUUCGAGCUUAAUUAUUGUGUGUAUAAUAACGCUUUAAAAAUUUGGUUGGGGCAACUUCGGAACAAAAAAAGCUUCCGUGAGGGUUUAUAGAUCCAAAAUUUUUGAGAGAAAGAAAAAGCUACCGUAGGGAUAACAGCGUAAUCUUUUUUGAGAGAACAAAUUGAAAAAAAG
rnacentral:rRNA from 1 species